UUAAUUUGAGACUUUUAUUAUAUGCCGCUAGAUGGCGUAGUUCCGCUUUGUGGUUCAUUUUAGUUUCACUUUCACAGACGCUCGCUCCGCCAUUUUCUUUGGGUGCUAAUGUGCGUGGAUGCAUGUAAGUUCUCCUUAAACAAUAACAAUUAACAUUAAUACUUCAUCGCAAUGCUGUACUUUGAGUAAUCCGUUUCUAUUACUAAUAUAAAUGUUAAUUAUGAUGUAAAAGGCCAGUUAUAUAUAUUGUGGUUAAAACUUUUAUGUUAUAUUACCAAUUUUACUCCACACGAUGUAUAUAUCAUGUUUAUUUGUAUUAUUUGACAACAAUGUUAUGUUAGCUGACUUAAAUUGAUAUAUAAUUCCUCUGUGUAUUUCAGGAAAACCACAUUAAUACCUUUUGGCCAUGAUUGUAUGCUGCUAUGAAUAUUAAUACUCAAAGUGCUACAUAAAGAGUUAACUGUUGCCUGUCUCCUGUCACACUUCUUACCGGAGCCCCGUAAUGGAUGGGCAUUAACCUACCUAAACACCACAAAAGUCAAUUACAUUUGGUCCUUCGAGCCGGAUGCUGCAUUCAUUACGGUGAUCAAUGGAGCGACAGAGCCACAGUUAUCCUCUUGAUUCCACACACCCUGUCCGUAGACAGGACAGAGUACGUCAGCUGCCUGCUCAUCUGCAAGACUAUGAUUUAGCAUUACCCAAAUCGCUGAUGCCAGUCCCUGGACUUUAUGAUAGUCCAUACGCACAAUCAAGGAUAGAUCAUACAGGAGCACAGCUGAUUCUCAGUGGACAGGCCGAGCCAGUCUCGACUGUUGAACAGCCUUCUGGUUAUGAGCAACACAUGCAGUAUGGACCAAGCCAUAUGAGCAGUAUUAACGUUGAACUUAGUGACCUUGUGAGGCAGCUAGAUGUUGGGAGCUCUAUUAGUCAGCUUGCUACACCAGCAGCACGAAACAUGACUCACAGUCAUUCUGAACAUAAUUCUCAUAGCAGCGGCACAGUAUCGCCUGUAUUGCCCAGUCUCGAACAGGCUGAGGUUACUUUGCUACCUCCGGUUAGACCAAAGGCUACCGCUGUCCCUUCGAUCGCACCUUGGCGUUUGGGACAUCCAUUGCCUGUUUUCGCUGGCACAGGAAAUCUUCCCCAGCAGUCAACUCCAUGGCAUAUGACACAGACCAGACCCAGUUUGGCACCUGAUAUGGCUAUAUCACAUCCUGAUAUCACUGCUUUACAUACAGCAGCAUAUCAGCAAACUUCAUACAGUGCAGCAGACAUUCACUCCUCAUGUCAAAUCAUUUCAUCACUACCACAGACAGUCACGUCAGUGAAGCUGCCAAUAGUUACUGCACACACAACCUUUGUGCCACCUGUCUAUCAGCUACAGGCGAAUCGACCAAGUCAAUCGCAACAGCAGUCUUUCACAAGGUCAGAUCCUUAUCGGAUAACGUCAUCUGUGACAGGAUAUCAUUCUACCUUACUAUCUUCUCAGACUCCACUCCAGCCACAUUACCCUACUCCGGUUUCGACUUACCAACCAAUGCCUGUGUCCCCUCCACUCCAGCCACAUUACCCUACUCCGGUUUCGACUUACCAACCAAUGCCUGCGUCCCCUCCUCUUCAGCCUUCGUACCCUGCUUCAUUUUACCAGCCAACGCCUGUGGGCCCUCCACUCCAGCCAGUUCCAAUUCCAGCUUUGCCUAAGCUUGUGAAUGACAGUGAGCGUGAGUUUACAGACCUAAAGAUGGCUUUGGACAAUCUCCUCAAUCCCCGUACUGAGCUUACUGAACAUUAUAAAUAUAGGGUGUUAAUGGAACAAUUGGUUCUGGAGGAGGCAAAGCUAAUUGCACAAGCAUGCCGGCAUCAUUCAGCACCUUAUACAGCAGCGAUGACCAGUUUACAACGCCAAUACGGCCAACCUCACCAAUUGGCACAAAGUGAAAUAGCGGCCCUCCUAAAUUCACCUGACGUUAAAGUAGGAGAUGCAAAGGCUUUCCAGAGUUUCGCUCUUAAUGUUGACUUGUUGGUGGGCAUGUUGAUGUCCCUUGAAGGACCACAGGGGCGAGAGCUUACCUGUACAGGACACGUUGAUAGGUUACUCAGUAAGUUACCGAAGUACUACAGAGAUAGCUUUAUUGAACACCUCCAGUUACGGGGCCGACUGAGUUCUGUUAGCCUAAACCCAUAUAAUUUGCAUGACCUUGCAGACUGGCUGAAAGUAAAGGCAGAGGCCCAGCGUUUAUCCUCAAAAAUGGUGCAGCGCUAUCAAACUGAGAAGGUUCAAGCAAGUAGAGAACGUCAGCCUAAACUAAAGCCCCCAGCUCGGCCCAUCGCUGUCUAUCAUGGAAGUAAUCAGCCCAAAGAGGUAAGCACCGUACAUUUGGUUGCUACGGAAACUGCAGGUGCUCAACAAUCAGCUAAUAGGUUCAAGCGCCUAUGUCUGUAUUGUAAAAGUCAGGAACACUACUUGUCACAGUGCAAUGAAAUCACUAAACACUCGCCUGCACAGAUUCUGAAGUGGAUUAAGGAUGGCAAGAGAUGCUGGAAAUGUGGACGUACAAGUCAUAAAUGUGAAGAAUGUACACUAAAGAAGCCUUGUUCAGAAUGUGGCGAGGUUCAUCUUGGGGUCCUACAUCGUAUCGCACUGGAAGUUUCCCGCACUGUGCUGCUUACGACAUCUCAAGAUCGUGCCUAUCUGUCGACUCCAAGCUCUACAGGACGGGUUUACUUAAAGGUGGUUCCAGUGCUGCUGUGGAAAGGCAAGAGCUCCAUACCGACAUAUGCCAUUCUGGAUGAUGGCGCCCAGAGGAGCAUUAUCCUUUCAGAAGCAGUCCAGCGGCUAGGUCUUGAGGGUGAAAAUGAAACUAUGACCCUACGCACCAUUCGGCAUGAUAUCAGUGUGUUACAAGGGCGGUCCGUUGAUUUACUGCUUUCCACCCAGUCAAACCCAAAUGAAAAAUAUACCCUUAUGGGUGUGUUUUCGGCUCCUCUCCUUACAUUGUCUGAACAAACAUACCCGACUAGGAGACUUCAGCAAUGUUAUUAUCAUCUCAGAGAGAUCCCUCUUCCAUCCUUCGAUAAGGUCCAGCCUCUUCUGCUAAUCGGGUCCGACUAUCCAAACUUGAUCACAGCCAAAGAGCCUAUCAGAAUAGGACCAGCUGGUGGCCCAGCAGCUGUAAAUACGCAACUUGGUUGGGUUCUCCAGGGACCAGAUGGACUCCUUUCACAUCAGGUACCUACACAGCAAUGUUUAUUUACUUCCCUCUCACCAAUACCAGAUCCGGUUUACCAACAUGUCGAACGACUGUGGCAGCUAGAUGUACUGCCAUAUCGCAGUGAGAAGCUAGUAACACGGUCAAAGCAGGAUCAAAGGGCUAUAAACAUGCUGGAGACAAAGACACAGCGAGUGGAAGUUAAUGGCGUUGAGCGCUACGCUACCCCACUUCUUCGUGUCCAGGAUGCUACCCCCUUGAGAGGAACCAAGGAAUCAGUUCUUUCCAGCCUCAGGAACUCUGAAAGGCGCCUGAGUAAAGACCCAGAAAGAGCUAAAGUUUACGAAGCCGAAAUACAGAAACUCCUAGAUGCAGGCUAUGUUGUCAAAAUACCAACGGAGCAUCUGUGGACAGAUAAGGAGUCGUGGUUCAUACCGCAUCAUCUUGUCCAUCACAACGGCAAGGACCGGCUGGUUUUUAACUGCUCCUUCGUGCAUCAAGGAAUUUCACUUAAUCAGCAACUACUUCCUGGGCCCAGCCUCGGUGCCUCUUUACUAGGAGUUCUCCUGCGGUUUCGGCAGUAUCCUGUUGCCAUUAGUGGUGAUAUCCGUGCGAUGUUUCACCAAGUGAGACUUCUGCCGGAGGACAGAUCCCUGCUGAGGUUCAUUUGGAGGAACAUGCGGAGGGAGGAUCAGCCUGACAUCUAUGAAUGGCAAGUCUUGCCUUUUGGAACGACCUGCAGUCCUUGCUGUGCCUCCUUUGCUUUGCGUAAACAUGUUCAAGAACAACAGCCUGGCAAUGAAGAGGUGUUACAGUCUAUAGAGCAGAGUUUCUACGUAGACAACUGUCUACAGAGCUUUUCGACCCCUGAAGAGGCUAAGGAACUAAUUGACAAGAUGAGACCACUCUUAGCCUCUGGGGGUUUUGAGAUAAGGCAAUGGGCUUCUAACGUUCCAUCAGUAGUCCAGCACUUACCAGCAGGAGCACGUUCUGAGAGCAUUGAACUGUGGCUUCAGCAGUAUACCCCGGAUCCUCUAGAACAUGCUCUCGGUUUAAUGUGGCAUUGUCUCAAAGAUCAUUUAGGGUAUAAGCAUCGGGCAAUAGGAGAGCAUCCCCCAACAAUGAGACACCUUUACAAAGUUCUAGCAUCGCAAUAUGACCCCGUAGGGUUUAUUGUUCCCUUCACUACCAGGGCCAAGGUGCUUAUCCAGAAAUUCUGGACCAAACCACGGAAUUGGGAUGAUCCGAACUUACCUGCAAAUUUGCUGGAGCAGUGGAACCUCUGGGAAAGAGAAUUACCCAACCUUAGCAAAAUCAAGUUGCCUAGAUGUUAUCUUCCCCCCAACUUUGCAGUGGAAACAUCAAGAUUUAACCUGCAUGUGUUCGGGGAUGCAUCAGAAGCGGCCUACGGAUCCGUUGCGUAUCUGCUUAUUGAGCAGAAUGGAGAAGUCCAUACCUCCUUUGUCAUGGCUCGCUCCAGGGUUGCCCCCAAACGACAGCUAUCAAUACCACGGCUUGAGUUGUGUGCAGCGCUGACCAGUGCUCAAUUAGCCAGAUUUCUCCAACAGGAACUGAGCAUUGUUGUGGAAAAUGUGACAUUAUGGACUGACUCCACCACCGUCCUUACCUGGAUAAACUCUGAAUCUUGCCGAUAUAAGGUAUUUGUCGGAACAAGAAUAGCCGAAAUUCAAGAGCUCACUGGAGACCACACAUGGAGGUAUGUUGAUUCCUCAAAUAACCCGGCAGAUGACAUUACCAGGGGCCGGACACUUACUGAGAUAGCAAGCCCAGGUAGGUGGAGUCAAGGUCCAAAAUUUUUGAAGGAACCACCAGAGCAAUGGCCAACUACACCCAUGGCAGAAAUCCAUGAUGAUCCUGCGGAAGCAAAGAAAGGUAUUUUCUGUGGCCUAGCAACAAAUGACCAAAGCUCUGGAAUGCCUGAUGUAUCAAAAUAUACCUCAUGGAAAGCCUUGGUUGAUGCCACUUACCAGUUCCUUCACGGGGCGGCUACUCAAGAUACAAAUGCACAAACUCCAGACUACCGAAGUGCAGAAGCUUGCAUACUGAGCCAGGCUCAAGAGGAAUCUUUCUCAGAGGAGUUUAGAGCCCUAAAGACAGCAAAACUGGUGCCCGUAUCCAGCCGUCUGCAUACCCUUGCGCCAGAGUUUGAUCACACGCUGGCACUAAUCCGUGUGGGUGGUAGACUACGGAAACUGUCUGAUUCCAGUGAAACUGAGAUACACCCAGUGGUCUUAGACCCACACCAUUCAGUGACUAAGCUCCUCAUAAGGCACUUCGACGAGCGUUUACUUCAUCCAGGUCCAGACAGGGUUUUCGCAGAACUACGUCGCUAUUAUUGGAUUCUGAGAGGCAGGCAAGCAAUUAAAAAACAUCAAAGGGAAUGUGUGGAGUGCCAGAAGUGGAGGGCGAAGCCGAUAGUACCCAUUAUGGCUGACAUACCCUCAGCUCGUCUGCGACUCAACCAACCGCCUUUUUUCUCGACUGGAGUUGAUUGCUUCGGGCCCUUUAUUGUUAAGAUUGGCCGGCGCUCAGAGAAGCGAUGGGGAAUCAUCUUCAAGUGCUUGACAACCCGAUGUAUUCACCUUGACCUUCUUAACAGUAUUGAUUCAGAUGCAUUCUUAUUGGCACUUAGGCGUUUUAUCGCUCGAAGGGGAACACCAUCUGAAAUUCUCUCAGAUCAAGGGACUAAUUUCAGAGGAGCAGAAACUGAAUUAAGGCAAGCCUUUAAGGAAAUGGAGCCCAGGCUGCAGGAGCUGCUAGCUGACUAUCAGAUCACCUUUAAGUUGAAUCCUCCGGCUGCACCACAUUUUGGAGGCAUCUGGGAAAGGGAGAUUAGAUCGGUAAAGUCUGCCCUGCAAGUAGUUAUAGGAAGUCAACCUGUUCCAGAGGAAGUGCUGAGUACUGUCUUAAUCGAAGUAGAAGGUAUUCUGAAUAGCAAGCCAUUAGGUUACGUUUCAUCUGACGUAGCGGACUUAGACCCGGUCACUCCUAAUAUGCUGCUUAUGGGCCGAAGGGAUGCCUCACUUCCUCAAGUUAUUUACACUCCAGAACCUGUAACCAAGCGCCGCUGGCGUCAUACUCAAAGUAUUGUUGAUCACUUCUGGUUAUACUAUACCCGGCAUUACCUGCCUGACUUACAGACUCGACAGAAGUGGCAACGAGAAACACAGGAUCUAACUGAGAACACAGUGGUGAUGAUUAUGGAUCCACAACUUCCUAGAGCCAGCUGGCCAGUUGGUCGGGUUGUUAAACUGAUACCCAGUGCUGAUGGACAUAUCAGGUCAGCUCAAAUACAGGUCAAGGAUCGUCUAUACUUAAGGCCUGUCGCCAAACUUGUAAGACUUCCACCAAUUCCUGAUGGAGAUGAAACUAAUCCCGGAGACUAGGGAAUUUACUUUAUUACAUAUUAGCUAUGCUAAUCUGGGGGCGGCUGUUCGAAAUUCCCUAUGAGUAGGUUAUGAAACUUUAAUUUGAGACUUUUAUUAUAUGCCGCUAGAUGGCGUAGUUCCGCUUUGUGGUUCAUUUUAGUUUCACUUUCACAGACGCUCGCUCCGCCAUUUUCUUUGGGUGCUAAUGUGCGUGGAUGCAUGAAAACCACAUUAAUACCUUUUGGCCAUGAUUGUAUGCUGCUAUGAAUAUUAAUACUCAAAGUGCUACAUAAAGAGUUAACUGUUGCCUGUCUCCUGUCACACUUCUUACCGGAGCCCCGUAAUGGAUGGGCAUUAACCUACCUAAACACCACAAAAGUCAA